GAUGAACGCUGGCGGCGUGCCUAAUACAUGCAAGUCGAGCGAACGGACGAGAAGCUUGCUUCUCUGAUGUUAGCGGCGGACGGGUGAGUAGCACGUGGAUAACCUACCUAUAAGACUGGGAUAACUUCGGGAAACCGGAGCUAAUACCGGAUAAUAUUUUGAACCGCAUGGUUCAAAAGUGAAAGACGGUCUUGCUGUCACUUAUAGAUGGAUCCGCGCUGCAUUAGCUAGUUGGUAAGGUAACGGCUUACCUAGGCAACGAUGCAUAGCCGACCUGAGAGGGUGAUCGGCCACACUGGAACUGAGACACGGUCCAGACUCCUACGGGAGGCAGCAGUAGGGAAUCUUCCGCAAUGGGCGAAAGCCUGACGGAGCAACGCCGCGUGAGUGAUGAAGGUCUUCGGAUCGUAAAACUCUGUUAUUAGGGAGGAACAUAUGUGUAAGUAACUGUGCACAUCUUGACGGUACCUAAUCAGAAAGCCACGGCUAACUACGUG
rnacentral:rRNA from 1 species